rnacentral:rRNA from 1 species
CCUGCUCAGGAUGACGCUGCGGCGUGCUAACACAUGCAAGUCGAGCGAAGCACUUUGAUUGAUCUUCGGAUGAAGAUAAUUGUGACUGAGCGGCGGACGGGUGAGUAACGCGUGGGCAACCUGCCUUACACAGGGGGAUAACAGUUAGAAAUGACUGCUAAUACCGCAUAAGACCGCGGAACCGCAUGGUUCUGAGGUAAAAACUCCGGUGGUGUAAGAUGGGCCCGCGUCUGAUUAGGUAGUUGGUGAGGUAACGGGCUCACCAAGCCGACGAUCAGUAGCCGACUUGAGAGGGUGACCGGCCACAUUGGGACUGAGACACGGCCCAGACUCCUACGGGAGGCAGCAGUGGGGAAUAUUGCACAAUGGGGGAAACCCUGAUGCAGCGACGCCGCGCGAGCGAUGAAGUAUUUCGGUAUGUAAAGCUCUAUCAGCAGGGAAGAAAAUGACGGUACCUGACUAAGAAGCCCCGGCUAACUACGUG